GUUUUGUUUUGUUCUGUUGUCCUUACCAUCGAUCUUUAUACAGGGUGUAUAAAAAAGUAAACAAUUUUGAAACGGCUCUUAAUUUCACAAAUCACAUUUUGAUAUUCAUUUGAUAUACUGCUUUUUCUGAUAAACUGUUUUUACCGUUUCGACCGUGUAGGUCAGGACGGAUUGAAGACUGGAAAUUGCGAACUAUAUACUGAAUGUCAUAAACGUACUCGUCCCCGAGCCAACGGCGCGGAGCGCCGUUCCGGGCGUAAGCCCGUUGCGAGGAUACUAAUUUCCCCCGGCUAUUUACAACCGGGGAAACGAAAGCAUUAAGCAUUAGCGAAGUCUAAAGUUCAUCAAUGAUCGCGGACGUGGGUGACCAACGGUGGGUAGUCAUCCUCACUGAUCUCAAAAAUAUGGCGGACUGUCAUGAAUAGCGAACACUGAUUGGUCAAAUUUAAAAUUUGCAUUAUAACGACUGUAUGACGACAGCGAAAUAGCAAACAUUUCUUGAUUUGAUGAUUUCUUGC